CCUACGGGGGACAGCAGUCGAGAAUCAUUCACAAUGGGGGAAACCCUGAUGGUGCGACGCCGCGUGGGGGAAUGAAGGUCUUCGGAUUGUAAACCCCUGUCAUGUGGGAGCAAAUUAAAAAGAUAGUACCACAAGAGGAAGAGACGGCUAACUCUGUGCCAGCAGCCGCGGUAAUACAGAGGUCUCAAGCGUUGUUCGGAAUCACUGGGCGUAAAGCGUGCGUAGGCUGUUUCGUAAGUCGUGUGUGAAAGGCGCGGGCUCAACCCGCGGACGGCACAUGAUACUGCGAGACUAGAGUAAUGGAGGGGGAACCGGAAUUCGCGGUGUAGCAGUGAAAUGCGGAGAUAUCGAGAGGAACACUCGUGGCGAAGGCGGGUUCCUGGACAUUAACGGACGCUGAGGCACGAAGGCCAGGGGAGCGAAAGGGAUUAGAUACCCGAGUAGUC
rnacentral:rRNA from 1 species